rnacentral:rRNA from 1 species
UCAAGCUAAUAAGAGCGCAAGGGGAAUGCCUUGGCAUCAGGAGCCGACGAAGGACGUGACAAGCUGCGAUAAGCUACGGUGAGGAGCAAAUAUCCUGUGACCCGUAGAUUUCCGAAUGGGGCAACCCGGCUGGACAAUAUCCAGUCAUCCUGCAUUGAAUCAAAUAGGUGUAGGAAGGGAACCGCCUGAACUGAAACAUCUAAGUAGGGCGAGGAAAAGACAUCAACCGAGAUUCCGCAAGUAGUGGCGAGCGAACGCGGAAGAGGCCAAACCGGAGGAUUUAUUCUCCGGGGUUGCGGACAGCUAUACGGAACAAUAGUUUAGCCGAACGGUCUGGGAAGGCCGGUCACAGAGGGUGAGAACCCCGUAGGCGAAAGACGAAUUGUUUCAGGCUGGAUCCAGAGUACCGCAGGACACGUGAAACCCUGUGGGAAACAGGGGGGACCACCCUCCAAGCCUAAAUACUACCUGAUGACCGAUAGAGGAGCAGUACCGUGAGGGAAAGGUGAAAAGGACCCCGGGAGGGGAGUGAAAGAGAACCUGAAACCUUGUGCUUACAAGCAGUCAGAGCACGUUAACGUGUGAUGGCGUACUUUUUGUAGAACGGUCCGGCGAGUUAUAGUAACGAGCAAGCUUAAGGUAUUCAGUACCGGAGGCGAAGCGAAAGCGAGUCUGAAUAGGGCGUAUGAAGUUCGUUGCCAUAGACCCGAAACCGGGUGACCUACCCAUGAGCAGGUUGAAGUGGGGGUGAAACCCCAUGGAGGACCGAACCGACCCCCGUUGCAAUGGUGGCGGAUGACUUGUGGGUAGCGGUGAAAUUCCAAUCGAACUCGGAGAUAGCUGGUUCUCCCCGAAAUAGCUUUAGGGCUAGCGUUAUGUUAGAUUACCGGAGGUAAAGCACUGAAUGGUAGCGGGGCCGAUAAGGUUACCAACGCCUAUCAAACUAAGAAUGCCGGCUAAUUGAUGCAUAGCAGUCAGACAGUGUGAGAUAAGUUUCAUUGUCAAAAGGGAAACAGCCCAGACCUACAGCUAAGGUCCCAAAUGUAUGCUAAGUGGAAAACGAUGUGGAAUUGCGAAAACAACCAGGAUGUUGGCUUAGAAGCAGCCACUCAUUAAAAGAGUGCGUAAUAGCUCACUGGUCGAGUGACUCUGCGCGGAAAAUGUAACGGGGCUAAGCAUCUAACCGAAGCUUAGGAUUGUCGUAAGACAGUGGUAGGGGAGCGUUCCAUGUGGGGUGAAGUCGUAGCGGAAGCAGCGGUGGACUGCAUGGAAGUGAGAAUGCCGGAAUGAGUAGCGAGAAUUAUGUGGGAAUCAUAAUGGCCGAAAAUCUAAGGUUUCUUGGGGAAGGUUCGUCCGCCCAAGGUAAGCCGGGAGCUAAGGCGAGGCCGAAAGGCGUAGUCGAUGCACAUACGGUAGAAAUUCCGUAGCCACCGAACUUUAAGUCAGAGGGACACUUUUGGAUAGCGGAACCCGGGCGUUGGUUGACCCGGGCGAAAGGGAGCGAAAAUAUAGUAGCGAAGUCCGCGAUGCUGAGAGGCGAGAAAAGCUCUGAUGGAUACUAAGGUGCCCGUACCGCAAACCGACACAGGUAGAUGAGGAGAGAAUCCUAAGGCCAACGGGAGAAGGGUUGUUAAGGAACUCGGCAAGUUGACCCCGUAACUUCGGAAUAAGGGGAGCCUCGAAAGAGGCCGCAGUGAAUAGGCCCAAGCAACUGUUUACCAAAAACACAGGUUUAUGCUAAAUCGAAAGAUGACGUAUAUGAGCUGACGCCUGCCCGGUGCCGGAAGGUUAAGAGGAGAUGUCAACCGCGAGGUGAAGCAUUGAAUUGAAGCCCCGGUAAACGGCGGCCGUAACUAUAACGGUCCUAAGGUAGCGAAAUUCCUUGUCAGGU